GUGACAGAAGAGAGUGAGCACACAUGGUGGCUUUCUUGCAUAUUUGAUGGUUUCAUGCUUGAAGCUAUGUGUGCUCACUCUCUAUCUGUCAC
rfam:Arabidopsis lyrata subsp. lyrata unplaced genomic scaffold ARALYscaffold_6, whole genome shotgun sequence.